rnacentral:rRNA from 1 species
ACUGGGUUUUUCUUGAGUGUGGAUGAAGUAGGCGGAAUUUGUGGUGUAGCGGUGAAAUGCAUAGAUAUCACGAGGAACACCGAUUGCGCAGGCAGCUUACUAAACCAUAACUGACGCUCAGGCACGAAGGCGUGGGGAUCAAACAGGAUUAGAUACCCUGGUAGUCCACGCAGUAAACGAUGAUUACUGGCUGUUUGCGAUAUACAGUAAGCGGCUGAGCGAAAGCGUUAAGUAAUCCACCUGGGGAGUACGUUCGCAAGAAUGAAACUCAAAGGAAUUGACGGGGGCCCGCACAAGCGGAGGAACAUGUGGUUUAAUUCGAUGAUACGCGAGGAACCUUACCCGGGCUUGAAAUGCAUCUGACAGGGGCAGAGACGUCCUUUCCCUUCGGGGCAGAUGUGUAGGUGCUGCAUGGUUGUCGUCAGCUCGUGCCGUGAGGUGUCGGCUUAAGUGCCAUAACGAGCGCAACCCUCAUCAUUAGUUACCAUCAGGUUAAGCUGGGGACUCUAAUGAGACUGCCAUCGUAAGAUGCGAGGAAGGUGGGGAUGACGUCAAAUCAGCACGGCCCUUACGUCCGGGGCGACACACGUGUUACAAUGGGUGGUACAAAGGGCAGCUACAUGGCGACAUGAUGCUAAUCUCCAAAACCACUCUCAGUUCGGAUCGGAGUCUGCAACUCGACUCCGUGAAGCUGGAUUCGCUAGUAAUCGCGCAUCAGCCACGGCGCGGUGAAUACGUUCCCGGGCCUUGUAC